rnacentral:rRNA from 1 species
GACGAACGCUGGCGGCGUGCUUAACACAUGCAAGUCGAGCGGUAAGGCCCUUCGGGGUACACGAGCGGCGAACGGGUGAGUAACACGUGGGUGACCUGCCCUCAGCUCUGGGAUAAGCCUGGGAAACCGGGUCUAAUACCGGAUAGGACCUGCUCCUGCAUGGGAGUGGGUGGAAAGUUUUUUCGGCUGGGGAUGGGCCCGCGGCCUAUCAGCUUGUUGGUGGGGUGAUGGCCUACCAAGGCGACGACGGGUAGCCGGCCUGAGAGGGCGACCGGCCACACUGGGACUGAGACACUGCCCAGACUCCUACGGGAGGCGGCAGUGGGGAAUAUUGCGCAAUGGGCGGAAGCCUGACGCAGCGACGCCGCGUGGGGGAUGACGGCCUUCGGGUUGUAAACCUCUUUCGCCAGGGACGAAGCGCAAGUGACGGUACCUGGAUAAGAAGCACCGGCCAACUACGUGCCAGCCGCCGCAGUAACAC